AGCUCUCCCCGUUGGUUUGACAUGGUUGACUUGUGAUUUCUUGGUUAUGACUUGUUUGUCCACCUAGGCUCCUUAUUGUGGAAGAUUUCCUUUCAAGUGACAUCUGCAUCCAAGAAGGUUUGGACUUGCAUUACAGUGAUCUUGAAAGCCAUGAGAAGAAUGUGGAACUGGAUUUGAUUUCUUAGCCUUAGGAAGGCUAAGAACAGGAUCUUGGAUAUUCUCAGUGAUAGGAUGAUUACAGAGAGCUUGUUAUGGCUUGAUAGACCUGGAAUUUUUCCAAUCAGCCAUCAGCCAUGAAGUUUAUGAACAUGUGGAUCUUCAUGAGCAUUUGCUGUAGACACAAUUGGAUCUGAAAGAGUGGGAAACAGUCAGCUGACCAGAGAGAGGAUUUCCUGCCAGAGGAGUGGAUCAGCAGCCAGAGCAGAUCUGAGGUUGGGUCUGGUCGAGAAGUUGAGCCCUGGCCAGUCGCCGAUGACGCUUGUGGGCAGCUGUGGGUUUGUGGCUCCAGGCGUCUGGCAGCAGGCAGG
rnacentral:lncRNA from 1 species